rnacentral:rRNA from 1 species
GAUGAACGCUGGCGGCGUGCCUAAUACAUGCAAGUCGAGCGAACAGAUGAGGAGCUUGCUCCUCUGACGUUAGCGGCGGACGGGCGAGUAACACGUGGAUAACCUACCUAUAAGACUGGGAUAACUUCGGGAAACCGGAGCUAAUACCGGAUAAUAUAUUGAACCGCAUGGUUCAAUAGUGAAAGACGGUUUUGCUGUCACUUAUAGAUGGAUCCGCGCCGCAUUAGCUAGUUGGUAAGGUAACGGCUUACCAAGGCAACGAUGCGUAGCCGACCUGAGAGGGUGAUCGGCCACACUGGAACUGAGACACGGUCCAGACUCCUACGGGAGGCAGCAGUAGGGAAUCUUCCGCAAUGGGCGAAAGCCUGACGGAGCAACGCCGCGUGAGUGAUGAAGGUCUUCGGAUCGUAAAACUCUGUUAUUAGGGAAGAACAAAUGUGUAAGUAACUAUGCACGUCUUGGCGGUACCUAAUCAGAAAGCCACGGCUAACUACGUG